GAUGAACGCUAGCUACAGGCUUAACACAUGCAAGUCGAGGGGCAUCAGGAAGAAAGCUUGCUUUCUUUGCUGGCGACCGGCGCACGGGUGAGUAACACGUAUCCAACCUGCCCUUUACUCGGGGAUAGCCUUUCGAAAGAAAGAUUAAUACCCGAUGGCAUAAUGAUUCCGCAUGGUUUCAUUAUUAAAGGAUUCCGGUAAAGGAUGGGGAUGCGUUCCAUUAGGUUGUUGGUGAGGUAACGGCUCACCAAGCCUUCGAUGGAUAGGGGUUCUGAGAGGAAGGUCCCCCACAUUGGAACUGAGACACGGUCCAAACUCCUACGGGAGGCAGCAGUGAGGAAUAUUGGUCAAUGGGCGCUAGCCUGAACCAGCCAAGUAGCGUGAAGGAUGAAGGCUCUAUGGGUCGUAAACUUCUUUUAUAUAAGAAUAAAGUGCAGUAUGUAUACUGUUUUGUAUGUAUUAUAUGAAUAAGGAUCGGCUAACUCCGUGCCAGCAGCCGCGGUAAUACGGAGGAUCCGAGCGUUAUCCGGAUUUAUUGGGUUUAAAGGGAGCGUAGGUGGACUGGUAAGUCAGUUGUGAAAGUUUGCGGCUCAACCGUAAAAUUGCAGUUGAUACUGUCAGUCUUGAGUACAGUAGAGGUGGGCGGAAUUCGUGGUGUAGCGGUGAAAUGCUUAGAUAUCACGAAGAACUCCGAUUGCGAAGGCAGCUCACUGGACUGCAACUGACACUGAUGCUCGAAA
rnacentral:rRNA from 1 species